rnacentral:lncRNA from 1 species
GUUCUUUCAUUUGUCUUUGUUCUAUUAUUAAUAUUACUUUUACUGUUGAAUGGUUUUAUGUGAUAUUAGUUUGACGUGGCUCGGUACUUAUACAUCUUGUCAAUGUGUUGGUAUUGGCUUUCGUUUUUUGGUGGUUUGUUUUGUAUAUGCGACUUUUUGUAUUUCUUUUGUUCUUAUAACGUGACUCUGUACUUUAAAAGAUCCCGUCAGUAUGAUAUUGUUCUAUUAUAUGUCAUUAUGAUAUAUUUCUAUCAUGAAUUACUAUAUACGUACGUCAAAAUCAUUCAAUCGCGUAGUGGAAUUAACUAUUUGUGGAUUCUUUUAAAUUCUAUAUAUAACUUUUGGACUAGUUUUAAUCUCGGUCUUUUCUGAAAUUUAUUCUUACAUACUUUUGAUUUUUUAACCCUGUAUGCUAACAUUGCCUAUGUAGAUAGUAGAUGUUUUUGUGUUCUGUUAAAUUGUUCCUUUUAAAAUUGUUAUACGAUGAUGGACUGAUGUACCCAUCUUUUUUUUUUUAUUAUUUAUUGUGUGUUUAUUUAACGCAUCAAUGUAAAUAUAGCGGAAUUUCAUGAGACUAUCAAUUAAGUGAGAGGAUUAGCGCUUUAGAACCAGGUUUAAUCCACCAUUUUCUACAUUUGAAAAUGCCUGUACCAAGUCAGGAAUAUGACAGUUCUUGUCCAUUCGUUUUUGAUACGUUUUGUUAUUUGAU